GUGUCUGUAGCAAACAGGGUGUAUGCGCUGGUCUGAAAAACCAGAGAUGUGGGAUCGUUACCCAACCGACACA
rnacentral:tRNA from 1 species